rnacentral:rRNA from 1 species
GAUGAACGCUAGCUACAGGCUUAACACAUGCAAGUCGAGGGGAAACGGCAUUGAGUGCUUGCACUCUUUGGACGUCGACCGGCGCACGGGUGAGUAACGCGUAUCCAACCUUCCCAUGACUAAGGGAUAACCUGCCGAAAGGCAGACUAAUACCUUAUGGUCUUCACUGACGGCAUCAGAUGUGAAGUAAAGAUUUAUCGGUUAUGGAUGGGGAUGCGUCUGAUUAGUUAGUUGGCGGGGUAACGGCCCACCAAGGCAACGAUCAGUAGGGGUUCUGAGAGGAAGGUCCCCCACAUUGGAACUGAGACACGGUCCAAACUCCUACGGGAGGCAGCAGUGAGGAAUAUUGGUCAAUGGGCGAGAGCCUGAACCAGCCAAGUAGCGUGCAGGACGACGGCCCUAUGGGUUGUAAACUGCUUUUGUAUGGGGAUAAAGUCAAUCACGUGUGAUUGUUUGCAGGUACCAUACGAAUAAGGACCGGCUAAUUCCGUGCCAGCAGCCGCGGUAAUACGGAAGGUCCGGGCGUUAUCCGGAUUUAUUGGGUUUAAAGGGAGCGUAGGCUGGAGAUUAAGUGUGUUGUGAAAUGUAGACGCUCAACGUCUGACUUGCAGCGCAUGCUGGUUUCCUUGAGUACGCACAACGUUGGCGGAAUUCGUCGUGUAGCGGUGAAAUGCUUAGAUAUGACGAAGAACUCCGAUUGCGAAGGCAGCUGACGGGAGCGCAACUGACGCUGAAGCUCGAAGGUGCGGGUAUCGAACAGG